UGAUUUAUUCUUGCAUUUCGUUUAGCGCUGAUUUGUAAAAUGAAGCAUUUUCCAUUUAAUAUUCAUAUUUGCACUUAGAUAACUUAUUUAAUAAAAAAUUAAUAAGUUUGCAAACAAUUAUUUGGAAAUGUAUAAAGAGGAAGAAUAAUCUUAAUAAGUUGACUUGUUGACUUGUUUUGUAGCAACAAAGAUUCUCAUGUGGAAGUUCAAAUGAAUUAAUGAACAUGCCAAAUUGUAGUUAAGUCUUCCAUUCUCUUCCUUACUUAUAUACACACCAAUGCAUAAUAAUCAAAAGAAAUUGUAGUUAAGUCUUCCAUUCUCUUCCUUUUUCUAUAUAGAUAGCUUAGCUACACAAUCAUUUAAAGUUUGGCCUUCUUUUGAUUGUUGCAACAAUUCCAAAAGAAGAAAAAAAAAAUGGCAAAAGGGGGAGUUGAUG
rnacentral:lncRNA from 1 species